GGGGGUCCCUAAACGCGUGUAUCGCCCAGGUGGUCUAGGCGCAAAUAGGAAACCCGUCCUGUGCCCCGAUGAAGCCUUGUAGCUUUGCAACGCUAUCGCAGAAUUUCCUACCGACGAGCAGCAGCGCACGGACACUCUCCCGCGAAUCGGCCACGUUCUCGCAGAUCUCUCUGGCGGGAGAGAAGGAGAGACCAGGUGAGAGUGUGUUGGUCGGGCGUGGUCGCGGUGGCCAUGGAAUGCGCUCACUUUCACCGUGAACGUGGCCAGACGAGGAUCGAGGAGAACACGCGGCGAGAGAAAGAGAGCUGCUGCUGCUCUUGCACGCACACGAAACACGCCUCUACGCUCGGACCGAGUGCAACGUGCUGCAGACUGCACUCGCUGCUGCAACGCACCGUUUCGUUUCCCUUUGUUCCUUCUCAAAGAUAUACCAAUUCUUCGAAUCUUCCUCUUUUAAUAAUUUUCUAACGAUAACGAAGGAGUUGUAGGAAGAGGGGUUGAAAAUAUGAAGGGGUGAGUUUUAGUUUGAUCCUGUUGACUGAAACGAUGCGAUCGCUGUAAGAUUCGUUUACUUUGCUCAAAAGCAGCUUCCUCUCGUCAAAGAAUCGGUAAUGUGCUACACGAUCAAUCAUUAAAAUCAUCUGGAAAGGAGCGUAGAUGAUUCUGUGAAAAAAAGGGAUCGAUUUCUAAAGUCGGUAGAGUCCAUGGAGCAGCAGCCGCGUUAGAAAGCAACGUCAACCUACAUGCGAUCGGAGGAAGGGUAUUUCUUUUCAUCAACGAUUCGCUCGCCAAGACACGGACGAUAGUCGAUUAACGGGAUGAAUUAUAGGCAAUUGAAAGCGAGUGAAUAGCUAACAGGUAGCCGGUACUUCCGUUCACCGAACUGCCGCCACUGAGACUUCUUCCUCGUUGAAACACAGCUUGGUCAGGUGCGGGUAGCUAAACCACGGUAACAGGAGCCCCGAAACGAAUUCGUGAACAUUUUAUAUAAUCCUCUUAGCAACGCGACACUUGAUAAAUAACCUCGAUUACAUUCUGGGUUAUCUUUAUUUUCACCGGACCCAGUGAAUCCAAUUACCAAAAGUCUGAUCAUGGAACCCUAGGAGAUAGGAUAAGAAUUUAAUUACCUGCAAUUGAAUCAAAUUAGAUCAGAAUGAUGAAACUAUCGAACGAUUACGAUUUUUCCUUCGAAGAGAUUUGGUUUACGGCGAAGGAAAGAGAAAAGAAGGGAACGUAAUUUGCUGUCGUUGAAACGGAUAUCGGUGCCCUCGACGACAGGGAGUUCUUCCUGUCGACCAUUGGCAGAAUUCUUAAUUAGCGGGCUCGCUUGACGCACGCUCGCAGCAUUUGCGUUUCGAGGUUACGUAAAGAGGUUGAAACACGAGAUAGGGCUUGAAACAUCGUUACUCUCGAGGACAGUGAAUUGCCAUAAAGGAGAAAAGGAACGCGAAGAAGAAGAAGCAGCAGCAACAAACAAGAGCCUGCUUAAGAGGGAUUAUUAUUGGGCGUGCCCCAGUUUUACAGGACCGAUAUAAAAAACGUUUCACGAACGCUUCUUAAAAACUUCAGCACGGAUUAACGAGUUCUCGCCAAUAAAUAUUCUUUUUGUCUUUCGUUUCUUGCGCAACACACCUUGCCAACACUUAAGGUUAUGAAGCUUAAAGCUACGAAGUUGUAAAAUCGAAAGCUUAUGGGUAAUGAGGCGAUUAAAAAACGACGUUCUAUCACACGUUCCUUAUGGUGUGUCGUGUAUUCUCGCAGUUGCGUAGCAGCCUGAAAACCCGUAGAAAAACAUAGAAUCAGUUUUUUUUUCUCCAUCGGUUCGUCACCGGUACACGUACGUUUUAUAUAUCGGAUGCACGAUUAACCAAUUGGCAUUUUGCUGGAAUAAUUAUAUGUUAUACCGGCGUACUUUUCACCCGCGGCCGUUCAACCGUGAACACAGAUAGCGGCUCUCUUCGCCGUUAAAGUGCACCGGGUGGCGAGGCAGAAAAAAAGGGGACACGUUGCAACGAGACGUUGCACCACGCCGGUUCGCUGCAAUUAGAUCGCCACGGCAUGCCGCGCCACGCUGUUGAACCGUCGUCGCCACGCUACAUAGAUCUCGAUUUUUCGGCUCGGUCCUGCCGCGAUUUUGCCUUAUUACCGGUUCGCUCGAUAGCAGCCGCCGCGUUUUACGAUCCUUCUCGCUCGUUUCCUGUUACGCGCGAUACCUGUCCAGCCCCUUUCAACGCUGCGCAAGCGUCACUCAACUGGAAUUGAUACCAGUCUCGAGCGAUUCCGACUGUUCUAUUCUUCAAAGUUAAAAUCAUGAUUAAUCUUUCGAUCACCGGAUGGCUAAGAAAACGAGAAUCGAAAUUUUACGUCUAUCGGAAGGAAAAAGCAAACGAUACGAAUCCGUUUGAAAAGAAACUCGGUGUAGCUAACCUAUGGACAUUCUUGUAAAGGUGUUCCACCGGACGAAGGAGGCAGAAUGGACGGGGAUACAACGAUAGAGAUAAAGAAGCCGGAGGAGGAAGGUGUAAGAAUGGGACCCUGGGUGACAAAGUAACGCGAACUCGCGAGGGAAGAGCGAGGUGAACGACAAUGGGCGGCUGAUUUGUGAACUGCCAGCUCGGAUAUCGUCGUUCCGCGGACGCGGCCCACGGCUUCAUCGAACCUCCAUAAAUUUCUAUGGUUCAACAUGGGAGGCUCUCUUUCCGGGUCCGUGGAUCGGUAACCGCAGCUGCGCAAACCGUGUCCUUCCUCAACAUUCCUCGUUCACUCGCUAUUCCAACCUCCUCAGGCCGAUUCUUGUCGAUGUUUUACUAUGCUAAUGAGCCUUUAAUCCUCUCAUUAGCUCUAAAUUACUUCUUCUUCCUUCUGAAUCGUUAGAGAGCAAUUGUCAUCUAAAUUGUAGGAAGUCUAGAAUCUAGUUUUCCAUUUUAACUGUUCGUAAUCGUUUGAUCGGUGGAAUUUUCAAGAAGCGUGAAAAUUCGGCUCCGAUCAAUAUCGCGGGCGACCGCAAAUCAUUGGAUUGCGCAAAUGGCUGGAACCGCAAUGCAAUAAACGAGGUGGAGAGCGGUCCACGGGUUCGUAACGAGAAAACGACGAGGAGAUAAUGCGAAUCGACGUGCCGGCUCGAGAACACGAUUGUUUUGAUCGAGCACAGAGUGAACGAUCCUCGUUCUUCUCCCGGUGAAUCGUUUGCGCCGAAACUGGUUUCGCGACUCGUACAAACGAUCCGGUUGUCAGUCGUCCGAUCUUUGUCAAAUUCAAUUACAACGCUACACGAAAGCUCGAGCAUUACUGUUGAAGAUGGUUCCCGAAACGAGCUUUUUCCAUCUUUUCGUUUCGAGCAAUCAAUUUCGUUUGUCAGCUCAACGAAAAAUUCAACAUAAUUCCUGAAAUGUAGAGAAAUAAAGACUGAUGACGAUGCUUGAUCCCGUCACACGCGUGAAUAAACAUACGAAUAAACGAGCUGAUGGGGCCAUCAAAUUAAGGAUCGAACGAGGGUACCAGGUCGCGUGAGGAUCGAGCGAAAAAUUUCGAAAGGGGUCACGAGUCAAGAACGAAGAAGAACGCGAAUGUGCGUUUAAUCGAGGCGAACCGUCGAGAGCCGACCGAUGACCCGGGUCGUUAUUUCGCAAAGUGCAAUAAGUCUUCUCUUAAUUUCACCGGUCGGCAAGGAUGGGCGUGAAACGCAGUAAUUGCUCUUCACCGAGGUGGGUCGAACGUUGCGAACACGGCUUAAUAAUCGUCGAAAAGAGAAGGGUAGAAGAAAAGACGAUCGCUACGUUUCAGGCUCGUCCAAGACGUUGAUUCAUAUUCAAUAAACCUUGUAUCGAACACGAAUCGAUUCGUCCAAACGUGUUGUUUCGCAAUCGGGCUUUCAAAUUUUGCCAGAUGGGUCGCAGAGAUUCGAAGGCCACGCGAGAUGCUUCUUUUUGGGAGUGGUCCAUGAUUCUUCAGAAAUAUUCACAGAAAAGCGUUUCUUCUUGCAUAUUAUCAGAAGAGAUCGGACGAUAAAAAUAAUAAUCUCUUUACUUUAAAGUUUAAAGAUCCUCGUAAAGAGGGGUGAUCAAUGCUAUCGUCAAUCGAACCCUGUAAUUACAUACGAACCAGACGAUGAAUGAAUUAUUAUCAUUUACGCAAUACAGUUUAUUUUUGUGGCAGCCAGUCACUUUCUCCGUGAUUAUACAAAAACGUGUUCAUAAACAUUUCACCUGAUUCAUGGUAGAAAAAAUGAUGAUAUCUGAUAAAGGAGAAAUCCUGUUAUUCAUCGUGUAAUGAGAAAAUCCAAUUUUCCAAGGGAAUAGAAAGAAAAUAGAAAUCAAUGCAGUUUGAUCAGAAAUACGAGAGGAGAACAAAGGAGAAGGCGCGCGUAUUGCACACUGCAUUCCUCUUUGCGCUCUUAUCUCUUCCUAGCAGGAUUAUUACAGCCGGUGGACGGUGGUGUUUGCUAGAACGUAGUCUGCUUGCGUCUCUCGCAAUGGUAACGGUACUUCAUCCACUGGUGCAAGUGGUCAGCCAGAUCAUCGACUGGUCGAUCGUUUCGAGCGCAUCGAUUGCAUAAACUGCGAGAGGAAACCGCGAAGGCGUUUCUUAUGGAAAAACUCGUCGGAAAAUGAAUAUGUAGCAAGACUGAAUCUCGUCUCUGCUCGCGACAGGCAUCAAUUAUCGAAAUUCCAAAAUGUAGAAAACUUGAACGGUGCUCAAUUUUCGGUCUUUAAUUUUCUUUCAAAUCACAAGCAAUCUAUUUCGAAACGAAAAACGAAACUCCAUUUCUGUCGCACAAGUUGUUCCUGCAUUACUGUGACAGUCCACGCUCGCCUGUUACCGUCUUCCGCGCCGCGAAACCGCGCUCUCUCGUUGCCUUCGUACGUAAGAAUGUCGCUUAAAGUGUGUACGCCUAGACCGGUCGCGCGACUAAUAUGGGAGUGUGCGGCUGGCUGAAGCCUCAACUGGAUCACAGAUCCAGCUUGCCGAUCGAAUCGCUUCCCUAGGCGUUAAGCUCCGUUCACAACGCAAGAAUCGGUGAACACAAGCCGUACGAAAAGUGAUCAAAGUCACCGCCACCAUUUCAGAAGAUUUGAUAAAGUUUCAAAUUUCUGUCGGAGAUUCAUUUCAUCUUUCGAUCUUUACUGCAAGAAUACGCGAAAUGCAUCGACUAAUACAAUAGUGACAAGAGCAGAAGAGACAUUCCCAGAAAACCUCGUCACGGAGGUCUGACAUUCUACGACAUUAGAUAAUUGCAUCCAAGCUCCUCCUUCUUCCUUGCUUCUCUCUCGGUCCCUCUGCACUCUUGUACAGCAAUUUCGCCGAGAAAAAGAAGCCCCGUUCCGAGAAGAACGCAGAGACACGAUCGUCUUCCUCUUCCUCUUCGAGCCAACUCCGUGGACCAGCUUUGCUAUCCACGGAUCAAUGAAACCAUACAAGUGGUUGUGGUGAAACCGCAUGAAAGAAUUAUCAAAUAGAAAUAGCUACGACGUGUGCAACAAUGUUACCAAGGGAAUACCUCUGAAAGAGAAAAAUAGAAACGAAGAAGGCGAUGUGUACACCGCAAAGUGUAAACGAAUACCGGAAUGCUUGCAACAAGUUCCAAGUCUUGGAUGAUCUUAAUUAAGAAGUGUUAAUUGAAUUUUAUCUACUCUAUGUAUUUGCGGUUUAGAAUUCCACGUGGUCUCAUCUUGCCAUUAUAUCUAUAAAAAUGAUUGCAACUUUAUUGCAAGGAAACAUUCCACAGCCGGUUUGUAGCUUUCGAGAUUUUCCGUGGAUCUAGGUGGAUCCGGUCGCGGUCGUCUCGAAGAGCAGAAGAACCGAUUCCAAGAACAGAAUCGCUACCGAACGCUCGUUGCAAUUUCCUCUUCCCUGAUCGCGAUGGACGAAUUACAGUUGCACGCGUUACGAGCAUCAUUACGCUUGUUUUAUUAUCUCGCUAACUUUACGAUCAUUCUGACCUUUCCUUUAUUGCACCGUCAAUUUUGAUCUCUAUACUGUGACAAACAAGCAAUUUCCACGGUUGCCUUUUGAUUUGUCGUCGUGUUGGCUGUAAAAAUUCUGGUUCUGUAAUAAAUACAAACAGGAACAUGACCGUUGAUUGAAUUAUUUUUGCAACUAUGCGGCUGGUAGCCGCACAAAGAGGUAGCCGUUCUAUCUUCGAGUCAUUCAUCGCGGCAGAAAAAGUUAUGCAACGCUUCCGUGUGCCAAGAAACCGGAAGCGAAUCGAUCCUGUCUACCUGGCGAAAAAUCCGGAUAUCGAUCACUAGAUGAAAACCGUCGAAAGCCAAUACGAGAGUACGCGAAACCGCAACGCGUAUCUUCCGUGGCCGCACCAUUCCAAACACCGGAAGUUGCCCGUUGAUGGAUUCCCUGGUAAUUCGACGCUCACCGAAAAACCGAAUCAGAUGCAGAUCGAUCGAUCUAGGAAAGGGAGGAGAAGAAUGGAAAUAAAAAAGGAGAAAGUGAUGGAACGCGCGAGUUCCUCGCUGAUGAACAAGAUGGCGUGAAACUAACAAGUACAACAAUUUUAUUACAUUAAUAAUGCAAUAUUUUACAUUCUUUUCUUUUCUUAAUGAUACGAUUAUGUUGAAUUUGAGGUAUCAGUCGCCAAUGAGCCCCCAUAGAAGUCUACAUACUAAGUGGUUUUCAUGUCUCUGGGUAAGUAGUAUAGGUCAGUAGAGUGUCAGACCUUUUCUUUCAACUCCCUACACAGACCUCAAAGACUGUCUACAUAGAAAGACUUUUAUUUUCUUAGGACAGAUCUUAACUUGUGCUGAUUACUUUAUUGUUAUAAAUCUAUAAAAUGACCACUAGCUUUACAAAUGCCAUUUUAUAAUUGAGCUAAUGUAAGUGGAAACACGAGUUAACUGGUGACCGGUCAACAAUGCGUUAACUCUACAAUUGAUAGGCUUCCGGAAAUCGGCAUCUCGCGGGGACGGAGUUGCGGCGAUACCGCAAUUCGACGUUCCAUCGAAAAGGGAAACGGCAGGAGACACUCGAUGAAACGAAACGACGCUGCGAAAGGUGGAGGUGGUUUCAGCCAAAGGAAAGGUGUAGAAGAAGGGAAGAGGGGGAGAAGGAAGAGGAGGUGAACGUUGAGAAACCAAGGCGUAAUCCGAGGCGUAGAUGCAUCGAUAGCAACGAACAGCCAGCGAACCCGAUUACCACCGACUUCCAGGAGCGUUCUCCGUUGCCUGCACGCACGCACACGACCCAGAGAUUCUACCACCUUCUCCACCUCCAUCUUCUCCUACUUCUCUUCCUCGAACGUACUAUACGGUGCGUGAACCAGCGAGUGCUGGAGGAGAAUGCGAGCGGACGUAUGGGCGGUCUGGCCGUUCGACGUCUUCAAAAAUGUAGGGAGUGGACCUCGCGUUUCUUCAGCGUCGCUUUGCAGCCUCGCCAUCUCCACGCUUUCCACUUUCGCGCCGUUUUUUAAACGCUUCCUUUGGUCAAGGUUGUCCAGAAAUCGCAAUUUUCGAUAAUUAACUAAUCCCUAAUUCUCGUUUCGAUACCUAAGAAAUUAUUUGAUAUUUCAAAUAGCUAUUCAAAGUUUGAUCAACUCUGAUUAUUCGUUGCACAGGCUCGCGGCUGUCUUGGACAAUCGUAAAUAGCCGGUACCUAAUAUACAGUUCGUGUUUCUUGUUGAUCGAGGUACAACCAACGCGCGUCCACUCUGAAGAAACGAGUCAGCCGGCGAACGGUGAUCGGGCUGGUCGAACGAUUUGCAGUUUCUUGCAAAACAGGCACACCGUUCACCAGGAUUGCUGAUAGCGCGAUGAUAAGCGAGGCCUGUAGAUAGGCGGGGUCGCGAUGAGAACCACUGCACGGGGAGUGGACUCUCGGAGCACUUUAUCUCCGGAGUCCAAGAUGUGGGUCGCGACUGCCGCCCGCCACGCGAACACUAAUACUACCUUAAGGCUCGUCCACACCUGGCUGCACGUGCGCUCUUAGCGAAUUCUGUACGUGUUUCUUUCUUGCAUAAUUUCGUUUCAAUUGAAACUCCGACCUCUAUAGAUAUAAUAUUUUAGGGGUAGUUUUAAUAUUUUCGAGAGACCUCUGAUACAAAUCGAUGCAUCGAUCUUCUUAAUAACGUUCGCAUCGUGUCAUCGAUCGAGAAGGUAUCUUUAGGCGUGCCACACGCGAUCGGUACCAUAACGAUCACGUUUUAGUCAUCUAAUGGUUGGAACGAAUCAUACCGUUCACAUGAUACUUCUUUAAACGUUCCUUUUAACAACCAUCAAUUCACGAUCAUUUGCAUUCUUGAACACUGUCCUCUUUUAUCUGCACGCGUGUACGUUCGGUCAAAAAUGAGAAAAUAAAAAAAUCAAGCUCUCCAACUGAUUGACGUUGAUCGUGAAUUUCUCCUUCGAGUUUCUACAGCGAAGGAAGAACGAUCGAAGGGAAAACUUGGAGCGGAGACUCUCGAUUUCAUCGCGCUGGAAUCGCGAUCGAUUUCGCGAGACGUCUUGGACACUCCCUCUCUUUUUCUCUCUCUCUCCUUUGCUCUUAUUUUUUCCACUCGUUCCUUCUAUGAUCGUUCUAAUCCGGCGUGGAUGAAAAUAAAUGAUCGGAACCGGAGAGUAUCAUUUUUGUUACUCGUCAGCAGCUUCACUUUCGAUAUUACUUUCGAGGCCGGCGACGUAUCCAGUAUCAGCCGAUCCUUCCACGGUCAAACGAGAGAGUCUCUUCGCUUUCAUCCGCGAGUCGAGCAGAAAACUAGAUCGUCCGGAGGAUCUCCACUUUUCCGUACGUACAGAGAUCGCCUUCCACUUAGCCGAUCGAUUUACAAGACGAAUUAGAAAAUUUUAUCAAAUCAAAUCGAUCGGAAACUCGGUGAAAUUGCUCGCAGAGGCGUGAAAAGUAAUCGAGGGUGAAUCUGAGCUUCGAGGAUUUCUUGUUAAUUAAAAGAGAAGUGCGAUCCGCAUCUUGCUCUCGGAAGCCGGACGGGAAGAAACGGUGAGGUUUCGAGCGGACGGUGAAGCGGAAUAGCGGAGAGGAAGGAGCGUGUAAUGACAUUUAAGUGGGCACUAUUGCGACGUUAUCUUGGUCGAGGCGGGAGAGUAACUUCUCUUUUUCCUCGGCCAGCUACUAAAACGGCCGAGAGUAAGCGGCCGAACGAUUCUAUGGGCCGCAAAUAAAAAACGGCACACGCCUCGCGGUGGCACGAACGCCGACCGUGUAUAUUUUCCUUGCAAAGCCGAGCGAACGGAGCCCGCGCCAGCCUUGUCCAGGCUUUCUCUGGACCACCCCGCCCACAAUCUGUGUAACGUAUAACGUAUACCGUAUACCAGCUUGUGCACGCGCGUCCAUAGAGAUGGGAUCGACCGGGCCCGAUUCUAUGCUUGCGAAUCGCGCCUGACGCGUUGCGAAUCACGGUACGGUUACUUGCCUUUCCACUGGCUUCGAUACGCCACGCCGCCGCCGCCUUAAUUUCUCUCUCGGUUUGUCUGCCUCACUGCCGCGAGGAUAACGCUGUUGCAAUUUCCUAUAUCGUGCUAGGUACCGCUGCUAUGUGGGUGACUCUGAAAGUUUCGAUAAGCUCACUCCCAUCUCUAGCAGUCGUUCAUCAACCACUCUCGAUGGGCAAUUAAAAAAUGGACCAGCUGUGUCUGAUCUGACAUUUCGGUUCUCGUCUUUCGAUAACGUCACCAUUUUCAGUAUGACCGGCGUUAGAAAUUUUCUCUUCCUACGAUUAUCCUCUUCAUCCUUUCGAAGGGCAUCGACCUAUUCGAGUUGAGUAGAGGUAUCGAUAUCGACAAUUACGCAAUACUCGACGCGUAAGCUGUUUAAGGCUAAAUUUAAUCGAUUUGCGAAAUAUCGAGCGCUAACGAGCGCCGCAAAGUCGCGUCUUCGGGGCGGUUUCGCAAAUUCGUACAGACCAAGUGCGUGCCGGCAAUUUCGCGGCUCGCCUGGAAUGCCUAGGCAUUCGAUUGGCACCAGGAUACGUCGAGGAUGAAAACCUUGUUCCCGUUUCCUAUAUAUAGAAACUUCAAGCGCGGUAACACGACAAAGGUACACGGCAGAUCGCGCCUUUUGCUUCCGACCGUUCCAGCCACGACGUUAGAAACGUGGCCGGCUAUCCAACCUACUGAAAUUUAUUUUCCAUUCGCAGGUGAUCGUGGAAUCGCUAACGAUGCGAUCGAUUUGCCGAUCUACCUUUCUACGACCACCUGAUACAUCACUUUUCCUAGUUUCCCCCUUACCGCCAUUCAAAUAGAGCACUAUUACUUUCUAUCAUUAGCCAUUCAUUGCUGCUGCCGUUCAAAAUUACUUAUUUGAGUACAAUGAAUUCCUAAGUACCGUGCGUCGCCGACUUUCCGGACGGAUUCUUCAUGUCUACCCAGAGAUCAAUGACCUAAAGAGAAUCUGAGUCCACAUGAGUUUUCAUGAAACAAAUAAUUAAAAGCCCCAAAAAAGCAUGUAGAAGAGAAUGUGCAACAGGUGCAACGAAAUAUCAGGAAAAACCGGAGAACGUUGAUGUUUUGGAGAAAAAGGCCGUCGCGUUCGAGCGUCCAUCGGAACUUUCGAUCUUCACGAGUCUGAGCGAAGGCGAGCUGGCAAACCGCUAGAGGAGGAAAACUAGAUCACUUCGGGAUGUGGUCGCGUCGACCACGCCAGAAUGUUUGCGAUACGAUAGAAAGAGAGAAAGGAAUCGACUUUAUUGGCUGCGUUCACACCAAGCGACGCGUCGUGCCACCACUGUGCGUUCACGGUAUGUUUCUUCCACGAACGAUUUAGCAAGAGGCGAGGGGUUCGAGUCGCGUAUCCUUUGAAACGUCGACAAACGAUCAGGUAAUUUGGUGUUUUAUCGACCGUUUCGAUCGCCUCGAUAUUUAAUCGCUUAAUAAAAGCAAGAGGCAUCGUUAAUCGGUUGUAUCGAGCUGCCGAACAAAUAUUCAACCAGGGGGGGAAUCGAUCGGGGCACGGGACGGUCGAAGGGAGCGUAACAGGCACGCACAGCACGUGCAACCGUUCCGACAAUCAAUUAAGCGGUGGAUUUCACCGAUCGCGAAAACGCGAAAGAAAAUAAAAGGCGUACAGAUGAAAGCUAAACGUCCGAGUCGAUGGCCUACGCUUCCGUAGCCGCUAGUCUCCGAGAAACAACCUGAUGGUAAUUAAGAUUCAAUCUCGUCGCGGAUCAGAAGCUCGAACAUCUGAAAACUUCAGUCGUUUUCUUCGCUAAGAAUUUUUCUUCAGGACACCUCUAACAUAGUCAGUGGUUUUCAGGUGAGGUGCAGAAGGAAGGAAGGAAAAGGAAGGGUGAAAGGAGGGAUGAGUAGACACACCAACCACCGUUAAUUGGAAUCGAAACCAGCUGCUUCGGGCGUAAAGAGGAGCAAGGGGCGAGUCGAGAGGGAGCGAACAAGAUCCAGUGAAAUUGCUUCCAGGUAUCCACGAAGACGUUGACUUGCUGGCCAUCUAAUACUCACCGAGGUAGAAGGAAGGAGAUGCGAUGGUAUUAGGUGUUAGGGAAAGUUCUUCGGGUGCUUUUUUCCCGGAAGUGUAUGUAUUCCUUACAUAAUUUGUAUUGUUAUUCGAAAUGAUCGAUAAGCAACAUGGUCUUGGAUGAAUUUUUUUCAUAGCUAAUCAAACCGUGCAAUUCAUGGUUAUACUUCAUUUUCAAGAAGGUAAAAUUUACUAUCUGCUUUAGGAUCUGCUCUAAAGUAAAAGUUGUUUAGGCACAGUGCGAGCCGUAAACGUCGCAUGUGGCAACGAAAACCAGUAAAAUUCGCCCAAGAGGAACGGGAGCACUUAAGGUUUCAGCUAACGUGCAAGAUUCGAGCGUAAUGAUGGCGAGAAAGCGAUCCCCAACGAAGCAGGUGAGCUCGAGGUGAUAAUGAGUGCAUUUCGUAGCCACACGUGCACUCUAUCAUAUCAUAAUGCAAUUUCUCGAGUUUGAUAAGCGCCGUGAUCGCGAUAUUAAGGAUACUUGUGAACAGGUUUACAUUCUGUGCAUCAAACUUUCAUACCUGAUAUUGAUCGUUCAUCGAUCAGUUAAUUAGCACCGAACCACUCACUUCCGGCGCGAGAGCUGAAUCUACGAUCUCCAAUCAUUAUUUCAGAAAUUAUCGUCUUUACAGGUAAAAAUGACGAUAACUAGUAACUGGUUAUAAAAGGAAGACUGUUAGAUUUUAUUUUCAUGAUUAUGACUAGCUUUCAAGUGUCGUUGGAUAAAGAUAUCAGAUUAUCAAAAACCCUUCACGAUUUUAUGGAGUAAAUGUCUCUUUGGCUUUCGUGACGCGAACGAUUUCGUGUUACAAAGCGAUAUCGAGCACAAUCGAGCGAAUUAAGACGUGGUACGAGUACGUGGCAGUAAUUUAACGAUCCAUUCAUAAAGUCGAGGGAACACGUGCGAUGCGUAACUAAGUGGCAGGGUGAAUUUCGACCCGUUCCCAUUAAUUAUCGGCCCGUGCACUAAUGGCUUUUUCGCCUCGAACCGAUUCGGUUCCAUUCAGACGACUAACUUAUCCGAUUAAUGGUCACGAUCGUAAAGAGAUACUCGGACCAUCAUUAGGAUCGUUUUGGCAGCGUGUAAUUAAUACAACUAAUUUCCAGAUUGAAUGGUGUGAGUCGAGAGAAAAAAAAAGGAUCCGUCGAUGUUUCGGGUGAUCAUCUUUCUUUUAACCUGUGAACGUGUGCUCGUACACGGACACCAUCUCGAAACCGUUUAAUUACGAAUGAUUGUUCUGGUGUAAUUAUGAAAUUCGAACGCAAUCUCGCAUGCCAGGGCAAUAAUCGGGGUCGGUUACGAACGCGUCCGGUGUGGAACUGUCGGUCGUUGCGCAAGGUAACGAAGAUAAGUGGCGGAAGGCAAUGUGCAAACUAAUUUGAACGCGUUUGAAAUAUUCUACAUUAACGUGGUAUCGUACAUUAGACGUCGCUAUUUCGAGAAAGUCCUAGGAGAGUGCGAUUUAUAGGAUUUCAAGAAAGGAUACGAAUCAAGGAAAGCGAAGGCGAUAAAUACCGGAAGUAGCCUCGUCAAUUUGUAUAGCAAUUUCACGAACGACUUAUUCGUCUAGCUUGCUUCUCGGCUUGGAACAUAGCUGCGAGAAUGGCGCAUACCAGCGUGCAUUCUUCGAAUCCUUCGAAAAUACCGGAGCGCGUGAACCGUGCUAAUAGCCAGGCGUGGUGCGCGAACCUCGUAAUGUCAGAGGGUGAGCAUUCUCUCUGGCUUUCGUGUAAAAGGAUUUUUCCUCGCAGUUAUCAGCUCUGUUUCUUUCAGACGAUACGAGCCGAGGAAAGUUUGAGCCACGCGCAUGUAACGAGUAGAUACUUACCGUGUUCGUCAGACACGUCGUAAUUCUCUUGCUACUUUGUCGACUUUGAAUGGAAACGGAACACCUCUUCCUGGUAAAAACGAUGGCAGCGUAAUUUCACGUGCUAUGAAUAAUUAAAUGCUGCUAUUCCACCCACCAACCAUUGGAAGGUUAAUUUAAAGCUAAUACAACCUACUCGAAAAUCAACGUUGAAACGUUAUAAAAUAGGAUAAUCAUAAGACAGGAUUAGCAUAACUUGACUGUACACCCGAUGACACUUGGCUCCAAUAUAUCUGAACACUGCAGACCCCCGCAUAAUGGAAAGAUAACGUAACUUAGGAUCGCUAUGGCUAAGGUCUACAUUGAACCAGGAUUAGUAUAACCAGGAAGUAACGGAGUCUAGGUAGAGCCUUAUCUAGCUAUAACUUAGCCCUAGUGUCGCUUACGAUUAACAUAUCCUUAAGCUGUUCCAGCCUUCCACGAUCUAGGACGUUCAAGAAUUUAACACGAUUCGAAUUCAAUAGGAGCAAGAAUUAAUAGGAGCCGAAGGCAUCGUUUCACCCCAGACGGGUCGCCUUCUGUCGUAACUCGACGAUAAAAUGACUUUUUAGCGUCAUAUGCGAUAAACGUUUUGCGAACGAGCAGCACGUAAUGGCGGCACGUGCGAGGCACAUCGGAUGCAGUGGACACUGCGGGCGAGUUUCGUCGCCUUCGUCAGAAGUGAUAGUGACACGAAGCACGAGUUGCUCACGGUUGGUGGGACUGGCUCGACGUUAUAAAUUAAAACGAUUCAAAAGGCGAAUGGCUUAACCGUUCAGUGGCGUAGCACCGCUACGUUCGGUUUUAGUCCUCGCCGAACUGCACGGAUAUAUGGUAGAAAAUUUUCAAGCUUCCAUGGCCAGCGAUAAAUCUCGUCCGGCUGGUACGUCUAAGAUUUCAACUAACGUCGCGUAUCCUUUGGAUAAAAAGUGCAGCAAGUCCAACACAUGGUGUCCCAUCGAACGGGACAGAAGCCGUAAGUCGAUCUUCCUCGAGAUCCUAUCGUCUUCCCACCCACGUGACGAUUCGGAAGGUGGAACUGGAGGAUUCCUUUCCUACUCUCCCAGGACAUUACGAUCGGUGUCCGUAGCAUCCGAUACCAAAGCGAUCGAGACGCCUGCUCUUACAACCUACACGAUCUUGCUGCACCUAGUGCUCGACCAACGAACGAACGGUGGGCUGACCAUUCUUUUUUUUCCCUCGACCACUCGAGAUUAUCGUCCGGUUCGGUCUGCUCCGAUCCGGGACAGCUUCAGCUCCUUAGGUUCCUUCGUUCUCUGACUCACUGCUCCGCCCUCGGAACGCAGCUCGCGAUCUGCGUAGACGGAAUCGGAAUCGGAAUCGGAAUCGGGAUCCGGCUUCGGAAUCGUUUCGAACGCGUUCGAUUGUCUACACGAUCCGCGGUAAAGGACUUUCAUCGCGAAAGGUGGUUAACCCUUCAGGUAAACAGGUCUAACAAAUGUGUCUUCAGGAUAGUCAUUAUUUAUUUAUAUAAUACAGAGUUAAAGAAAAAUCAGCUAUCAUCGAGUGACAUCGAGCCGAGGAACGAUUCUGUCUUCCUAGACGAGAAAUGAUUUAAUUAACUCGUCGAUUUCCUCGAGUCAUCGUCAGGGUUGAACGUGGGCUGAACAAAAGGACGUGUCACAGGAACGCGGAAGGAUGUCGAAAGAUCGUUUCGCUCGUGGGAGGAUUUCGUUUGCCAUCGGGAUGCGAAAUAAGUAUCAGCCUGUUGGCGUACAAAUUGUCGAUCGAUCGAUCGAUCGAUCGAACGUUAUCAAGGAUUCACCGGAAUAAAUUGAAAUAUCGUGUAUUCGAUAUUUCGAGGAAGCAGAGAAACAGAUAAAGCCGUUCGGUAAUAUAUUUAUGGCUGGCAGGUAAUUUCCUGAUACGAAAUCGGUUGCGACACAAUCAAAGGCGUGUCGUUGAUAGUCCAGAAUUUCGACACAUUUCGUAUUUGCGUCAAACUCGCGCUCUGUCUUGAAACCGGUUCCUGUUCGCGUUAUGAUACACGCUCGAGAUCGAGCGGAGAGCCGGGUGCGGUGCCUCGAUAAAUCCGCCAAUAAGCUGGUAAUUACAUCCACGGUAUCGUCGCCGAUCGUCCGGCUGGAUCUCUUUCACCAUCGAUACAGCUUCCUUUUUCUCGAAUUUCCAGCUGACCGGUAAUCGAGUUAGCUUAACGACUUCGUAUCCGUUUGCUACAAAUUAGCCGUGACCGAAGCGAGGAUCGUUGAACGAAAUUGCGCUUCCGAAUCGAAGCUAAUCUGAGAAAGUCGACCGGUUGCAAAUCAACUUGUCGCUCGCCAACUUUACGUCACUGCUCCUCGAUGUCCACCCUGUUUUAUCUGCCAGCCAGUUUAGCUUUAUUUAUUCGGUCACUUUCAACGUGCAUCCAACCUCGAGAUACAAGCUCUGCUUGAUUGUGCGUGUUAGGUGUACCUGAAAUGUCGAUACGAAACUGAUACGCAGUCCUGACAUUAUAUUGGUUCGUUCGUAAUUUCCUCUUUCUGAUAGAUUUGAAAUUUUUCUUAUCUAAUUUCUCAUUUUCUUGUUUUAAAUUGCCUGCCAACUAAGUUGAUAAGCAGGGACAUUUGUCGGUACCAUUUCCGGAGAGGAUUUCAUUAUAGAUACAAUUUUUGAUUUUUAAAUCAGUUGCAGUUUCACAGUGUCGCGUAACGUGAUGUAGUUGUAGUUAAUAUUAUACAGGGAAUAAAAUUGUUGAUCCACGCCGAUUUUUCCACGCAACACGACCGACAGAGCAGAGCGGCUUUCGAAAGCGAAUGCAGCCACGGGGCGACAUUCUUUUGCGUCGGUUCUGGAGCAAAGCGGCUGCUUCUCUCGCUUGAAACCGCGUCUCCCAUCGCGUUGGAAUUUGCAUUUAAACGCCUGGCUUACGUAACACGGCGCGGUGCGGCGAGGCAAACGCGUUCAGGAAACGCCGAUGCGAGAGAGCCGAUUCGUGCGAGUACUCCUAGAAUCCGCCUAGCUAUCCUACACGCCGUACACGUUCCGCUUCGAUAUUCGACCGUUUAUCGAAGCGUCAACUCAAACUGCUUCACUGUCGCGUGAAAUUGAAAGUUUAUGGCAAACGUUUCGGUACGGGUUGAAAAAAAAUACACGUUCACUUGGAAUAUAAAAUAAUGUAAUCACAAAUCAGGCAGCUCGUUUUUUAAAUGAGUUUCAUUUCACGAGAAGGAGUCGAAAAGUGCUCUUUUCGAGGACGUGUCUUACGAAAAACGCAGACAAUUCGUUGAAACACCAUCGACAAUUACGAAGCUGAUAUUCCAAGCAACUUAACAUUUACUUGUUCGAUUUCAUCGAGACGCCUCGAGAUACGGAGACACUCGGCCUGUAAUUAUUGAUCGUAACUCAACGGGAACGCCUACAUGGUAAUCCGGACGAAAAUUAAUUAAAACAUUACCGCGUCCUUCGUGAUUUUUAAGAGAACAAAUUAGCCAAAUUACGAUUGAUCGGUAGCCGGGCUGAAUGUUUUACGGGAGGACAGAGAUCGUAUCGAGUGCGCGUUUACGUAGAUGGAUCUACUGGAAAUUUUCACCGGGUUCAAUUUCCCGCAAUGACGCGCGCAAGGACGCGGAUUAGCAUACAGACGGACCACCCAUGAAACGACCCUGUGCGAGCAACGGACUGCUCUUCGUUCUCGUAAUAAGCGGCCGCUCGUGUCGGAUCCUCCGCGUACAAGUACCGCCCGUGUACCCAUCCGUAUAUCUCGAUUUAUGCCGUUAUCGAUCCUUUAUUGGCGUCGAUAUAUAUUCCUGUUCGAUCCUUACAUCGAUCCUGGCCGUCUCCUUUUCUCUUCCUUCCUUUACUCUGCGUUGUGUCGCGCGUAGGAGUCCGAUGUCCCUCGAACGGUAUCAGCCGACUUUGCUCUCUUCCUUCCUCUUCUUCUUCUUCUUCUUCUACUAGUACACCAUGUUACUUAUCGAGUCCAUGAUAACUGGCUGUGUUUACGAUCGUCGUUUCAAUGAUUACGAUCCUCAUUUGGCUGGUAUAAUUAAUCCCUUCAUGAUUGUAAGGAACCUGAAUGAAACGAGCAUGAGAUUUAUGUUGAUAUCAGUGAUAACCUUCUGCUGAGAUACAACUAUUUUUCCUACAUUUCUUUACUUACAUUCACAUUUCUUUCGGAAGAAAUCUAUGUCCUGUUGUGGCUUGAUCCACAACCGUGUAGGUACACUUUUUAUAAUUAAUUUCUUGUUCCUGACACAGUUGAGUGAAACUCAAGGAUACGAAAGAAAUUGUUUUAAAAACUGUGAACGUUGAUAAAUUAAUAUCUUCCGUUUGUUCGUUCAUUAGAAAAUCAAAGUUUUCGAAUCGAGACGACUGAAGAAUAUCAAAUGAGAAAGCAAGAAUAGAAGCGACUUUAUUUAUUGCAACCGGCCUAUCGACCCUCGUACUCAACCGUGUACCAUGUUUAUUAAUUAACCUGACUGGUCAAUUAUUCGAUGUAAUUAUUAGAGGUAUGCUCGGUGUCAGGAAGCAUCGACAGGCCGAUAAGAUGUUUCUCUGAGACGACAAGCGGUUUACGUUUCAUGUAGACAUAGUCGUUAAAGAAGUACAUCUCUUGGAGCAUUCGCUCGAUACAAGGAUCGGCUGGAUCAACUGGAAGAAGUCUGAUAAAAAGAUAGAAGUUUUCAAGCUCGAGGAUCUCGAGCAACAACGACCGUGAUACGAAGGACGCUCUCUUUCUCUCUGUUUCUCGUUCGAAGUGGCAAGAACCGCUUCGAAAAUCCCUCUUCGGCUGCAAGAAAAUGCCGAGGAAAAAGUAGCCUUCGUUCCUUAGUUCGUUGGUCACAGCGAACCAUUCCAUUAUUGUUGUUCCAAUUUGCGUAACUACAUUUUUCUUUAAUCGUUCUACGGAAUCGGGUUUGCGCGUUAUCCGUUACGUUCUCCUCUUCCAUCUGGUGGCUGGUUAAUCGUACAGGGUGUUUUAAAGAAAUUCUCUUGCACAGGCACAGUUAGCAUAGGUAAAUAAAUAAGAAGGCAUGUAAAUAAGAAAUAACCGUAUAUCGAGCACUCGUGUCUCGCAUAUAACGGGUCCGGUUAAAUUAGACGUCUCCUCGAAGAAAGUAUCGGCUGAACUGCGACGAUUUAUCGAGCCCUUCAGCAACGAUGAAUCACCCAAGAUCUUCGUGUCUCGUGCUGGGGGGAAAAAAAGAAGAAUCAAUGCUCGUUCCGUGAAAUUACAUUGGUCCGAUGAAGGAUCGUUUGCCUUGCAAUUGAGCUAUCCGACUGUCCGACAACUUCCCUUCUCCCUAAUUUGAUAUUCGAACCUACACCUACGUCGAGCGAUUCAGUAAAUCAAACUAACCAGUCUACCUGUCAUCUCGUAGCACGUUUUAAUUGCGUUUACCGGGAUAUUGAGUCGUUAUGUGCCGUUGAACAGGAGGAUCUUUCGGAUGAUUUCUUCCUCGCAAUUUUUUCUCUUCCUCUUCCGUUCUGCCCUCAGAUCGCUAUCGAACGACCGGCACGGCUCUCGUUCCUCCGCACACGAUCGUUUCUUCGAUCGAGAAACAAUUGGCCAACGCGAAGCUGGUUAACGGUGCAUUCGAUUCGGUCAGAAAUUAAUCGCUCGAAGUCGUGCGAAAAUUAUUGACCAAGCGUCUCGCGUGAAUCGUACCUGCAUCCAGGGUCAUUAGUUUCCCUGGCGUUCGGUGGUGAUUUACGUGAUCGUUAACGGGACAUUAAGGAACCGCGACACCACGAAGGAUGUUUUGACAGCUCGGACCGAGGGCAAACAUGAUGGAGGUGUCGAUCGAAUUCACUCGGUACACGAGCUGGAUGCUCGAUUUAAGGAGGCGUAAUUAAAAAGCGUGCCACUUAUCGAUACCCCGGUGGAUAAUUUAAGACGUUCUCGAUCGAGGAUGAGACCGUGGGUAUCAAUUUUCUGCCGGCUAAUUUCUGCUCUGUUCACCGUUGACGUUAAUGGGUUAUUUAUUAAUUAUCGUAUGAAUUCAUUAGUAAGCAAAUGGGAUCGAGGGAUAUUCGAUAGAUCGUUUCGGUAGUGAUUUUAAGUAGAAUCGAGGAAAUCCUUCCGUUCGAAAUCACCAGUCACCAGGUCGACCGACCUUAUGGCCGAUUUCUAAAAUGGCAAAAAGUCACGACGCAGCGGUGCUCAGGGCUGAUGGUGCAACUAUAAUAAUAAAGUCCUUGCCACGAGUGAAAACUUUGUACAAUUUCAAUUCCUCGAAUCUCGAUGUCUUCAGAUUUCGAGCAGAGAUUCUAUUUCUAUUUGAUGUAACAAUGAUGUUAUAUCACGCUGGAAGGAGAUCAAAUAAAUUGCGAGGAACAGACAUUUAUUACGAGAGGAACGUCAACACCGGUGUAAACACAUAUAUAUUCAUCUCACGUAAUUUCACGCAAUUCGUGGAACGAGUCCUCGCACCGACAAGCCGAAGAAAAAGGAAGACGCUUUUUAGGUCAGGAACGCGGUUUAUCCCUCAUCCCUCUUCUUCCUCGGAGUGUCCGCUACCUCGAGUGUCCUUCUUGCCUCUCCCUUUUAAUCAGACUUCAUGUAGGAAUGGGAAUGAGACGCUUCGAAAUAAUUUUCAAUGUCGAACUUUCGGUUUUUCUUUUAUUUUUAUUCAAUUCUGAAAUAUUCUAAUUAACCGAUAUUCCGAAGAUUAGUUAACAUUGGAAAUGGUUUGGAAAACGGUUGAAAGUGCAUCACGAACCGAUUGGUUCGGAAGGCGGCGGCGAGAAAUCGUAUCGAAUGGCCAUCGCUACUCGGUCGCGUAGCCAGCCAACUGGUUUUUGCCGAUGCAACCGAGCCAAGCUGUGAGUGCUACCUAAGCCAAGCCGAGAGAACCAGAUGUACGCGGUUGUGUCCUCGCGGAUAUCGGUUAGCAGUUUCCUGGGAGAGUCUGGCUGUACGUACGAUCGUCCUUGAAGCCGUUACACUCCCUUGCAUCGCGGCUCUUGUAAAUCGGGCCUCGAGUUCGCCACACUAUUACACCCACCGACACGCCUCUGCCCUCUCUGUCCAUUAUCGACUUAUCGAAAUCAGCAAGAUUUGACUAUUAUCCCUCUGUAAAAUCACGACAUUACUUCACCGCAAAACACUCGAAUGUUUUCUCCUGCAAUAGAUCAUUCGGUUAACCCUUUCGCUACCAAUGACAUUAUUACACGGUGUACGUUGAUAAAAAAAAAAAAAAAAAAAAAAAAAAGAGAAGAAAAAUUCAAUAGUACAGCAUCGAUUUCUUCACAAAUGAUUAAUAACUCUCCAUCAGGUGUGAAAAUGUCGCAACGCGGUUAAUUAUAAGGGUGGGGCCAGAGUGAUCCGCACGCAAACCUCGCUGAUACGAUUUUAAUGAUCGUCUCGUUGCUGCGUUCGAUCGACACCAGUGAAAGUGAUAGAAAGCGAAAUAAUAGAGGCUGGCCGAUGGUAAAGAAUCUCGACUCCCGCGCGAAAUCUCGGCCGAGAUGCUCGUCCAGCCUCUGGGAGCCGAGAAAGAACCGAUCGAAUCUGUUAUAGAGGAAUGAUUAGUAUCGGAUCGUUAAAGCGACCGUGUAAACGGAUAAUUGGGCAAUAACACAGAAACGAAGAUCACGAACGCGACUCGCGGCUCCGCAUAUGGAACGAUCACGAUCGGAACGAAGAUCUAACCGUUCAGAUAAACAGGUAACGAACGAUCAAAUUGAAAAAAAAUUGGGUGGUCAAUGUCACGGGGGUGCGGUCUUCUCGGUUGAUCGUGCUUAUUAAGUAGACAAAUUUUUCAACAAGGCAGCUCGAAAUGUCAGAAAAUAAUAAUCUCGAAAGAUUAUAAUCUAAACGACGCAGUGUCGAAGGGGUUGAAAGAGCAUAGCGUCGAUUUCGUUCUUCCGGGAAACGAAAUGGUGGUUGGAGUUAUGCAACUGGCACGAUCAAGGUGAAUAGUGUAAUACGCUGGAACAACGAGGAGCGGUUCGAGCAAGAAUGGGAAUAUAAAUUUCAUUUCCCCCGGAUCGGUUUCGAAUCGAGGCUACAGAGAUAAGACGAUACGCGCAUAGAUUUCGAGAACCGUUCUAUCGAUAGAUCCCGCGAAUUCUUGGAUCGUGGUCGAUCGAUAUAUGGGUGUGACGACGUAGCACAUCGGCCCUCUUAUCCUUUCCUUCCUCGUGUGUUAAAUAUCUGAUUUCCUUACAAUGUACAGUGUGUAUCGCGUUACACAGUACCGUACCUACCGCGGCGAACAUUCGUUACACUUUAUGUAAAUUCGCGUUAAAGAUCGUUGCCUUUAUUCAUGGAAUAGGGCACGGUGAUUUGUGGUGUCGUCGAUCUAGUCGCAAACCGAACGAGUUAUGAAAUAUAAAACAAUUAAAAGAAACGUGUAUGUUCAUCGGUUCAUGAGGCAGGAAGUCGGAAAGGAAACAACACGGUACAAAAGAAAGUGUCGUAAAACAGACGGCAGAUUUCGCGGGAAACGAACGACUGACUCGGUUGCAUGUAAUUAACCACGUGGAUAAACGGUUGAUUCGCGUUUCGGAUAAUUGCCGGGGCAACGCGUGUAUCAAAAGCGGGCGUCUCGCAAAAAGGUAACGAGCAAAGCGGUGAAGUGUUUUACGAGCAGAAAGAUCGCUUUCGUUUCGCGUUCUUGGAUUUCACUUUUGACGAUCCCGAGGAAAUUCACUGCUGUAACCUUGGUAAAAAAAAUUGAUGAACACUCUCGGUCCACUUGACAACCUGCUACGAUCAGGUUCACCGAGUAAUUUCUUAAAUUUCUUCUUCUUAAAUAAACAGUGAGAGUUAAAAGUGAGUGUACACCACUUGAAUUCAGAAUUCCAACGAUCCUAUGGUGUUUUAGAGAUUGCAUUUCACGAUGUCGUGCCUGCAAAGUGACACUACCGUCACUUCGAUACUUUUCAGAUAUCAAACUAAUUGCAGAGACCUAAUUGAAUGGGGGACAAAAUUAGCAGCGUAUACGACGUGGUAAUAACACGUCCUAUCGGUCCUAAUGAAAGCGAAUCGACAGAGUAAGUCGCUCGUUACGAUUUCGCAAUUGAUUUCGUUUGUCGUUCCAGAAACUGAAUUGACACGAAUUAAAGUAUAGCGGUCUGGCUCGAUUACGAUUGACGUUGACGUACCGUUCUCGUUUAAUGGAUAUAAUACAGUUCUGAAUCGUGUACAUCUUCGACCUCCGUCUCAUAAUGGACCUGUCAUUAGAAAAUGAAGACGCGAGACACUUGGAGAAAUUAGUUGGCAUAUCUUCCGCUUGAUUAUGCUCGUUAGCGAGCCUCGAAACAUCAGGGUCAGCCGUGAAACUCGUCUCCCGAGGAGAGAAUCCAAGCUUAUCCAUCUUUUCACGCGUCAAAAGGAGGAGAAAUGUUAAGUGGUCGAGUUAUGGAGUUGUACGGGAAACGAUGCGCUACCUUUUAUGGAAGAUUUAUUCUACUAUUUCGAGUUUGCAGGUGCGCGUGCAAUUAUCGAAGUGUUAAAGCUUGAAAACUAUCACAUCGAGGGGCAGGGGGGGGAAGAGUUGAAGUGCAAUCAGCAUGCAACUAAUUUCUUACAAAAUUCCUGUUGCAUCCAGUUACACUUCCGUAUCGAAAUGGUCUAUCUUCUCUUCGGAGAAGAGCAAAAAGCUAGGAAGCAAUCGAACCGAGACGUUUCACCGUGGUGCGUGCAGCUUUCAUCACGUGCGAUUUCCGAUAUCGAAAGUUCGAAGUGCAAUUUCGUGGCAGAAAUAAAUCCCUGCCGGCUGCAUAAAUCCUGGUACCUUCGUGCCAGAACCUCGUGCAGCACACGUCGCUGAACUUCUCUCGCGAGUGAAGGCAGGGAAGAAAAAGAAAAAAAUGAAAUCUGUCUCGUUCUCCAUCUCGAGCGUGCAGCGGCGAGCGAGCAGGACGGAGACGAAGAGAUCGAGAAGAGAGUCGGAGUCGGGGCCUGGUGUUCACCUACUCGCGAGGGUGUGUACCAAGGCGUGUGCAGUGCCCGUACAACGAAGAAUUUCGCUCUGCACGAGACAGCGAUACCGGUGCAAGGAGGUAUCUAUUGCUUGUGCAAUAGUGAACGUAUAGCGGAUGUCAAACCGAGCCGCACGCCGUGCACGUACCUAUCUCGCACACCCCUGCACCAACUUUACCUGCAUAUCUGCAUCGGGACGGUUGACAACUCGCGUGCAUACGCGCCGCGCCGCGCCGCUUUCGUAGACCGCUAAUUUGCAAGCAGGAAGCGGAAAGUCUAAUCGACGGAUUCUGGACGAAUCUCGUACAGAGCCACAAGAUUUCUCACCGUGGUAAUUAGAGAAAUCCUGAAAACGGACGUUUCUUCUUAUAAAACAAAAGGCACUGCAAUCUUGAACCACUCGUACCAAACAUUAUCCUUCGGCUGGUUGAAAUCAAUCCUAUUGCAAAAUUAAUUAAUCGACCGUACGUGGCACUUGUUGUUCCCGGGUUACACUUCUCUUCAUUAUCCUCGAAUUGCUAAUUAACCAACGACUUCGUGAGAACCAUUGCGGUGAAAACUGCGCAGGUUACGCAAUUCUCAUUUCUUCUGUCGAUGGUUGCACGCGCCCACAGCUCGAGCGCGUGUCAAUGAUGCCGAGAUGCGAGAGAGGCGCCAAAGGCAGAUCGAACGGGGGAGAAAAAAGAAAAAAGAUUCGGCACAAUGGGAUAAUAUUUCACGGGUGCAGAUCACGAUCGACCUUGGCCGAAUCGAUCGUACAAGAUCGACGGAUCGAUCUCACGGUGCACGUAGCACGGUGUUACCACGAAACACCGCUCUGUUAACAGCUACGACCGCCUUUCCAGUGUGUUUACAAAUAUUGCAACAAAUCAAACGGGCUUCCAGCUGCUUCAUUGUUACUUGGCUGACUUGCAGAUACGGCGAGCUGUACGCCGCGUCGUUGCACGCAGUCAACCCGGAUUUUACGCGUGUCACGGACCCAACCAAGUUUCUCCGUUCCGGCUUCUUUUUUCCCCGUAAUUUUGCACGCUGUUAUCCCGACUCAAUGUUUUUCGUUACAUCAUUCCACGGACCUCGGCUUGAAUUUAGCAUGGAUAUAUUUGAAAUCGCUUCGACAGUCUACAGCUUUUUAUAAAACGAUCCAUACGAGCUGACGCCUUUUUUCCCCUGGCUGUUGUAACGUAUAGACUGGUCAGUUUCUAUUUGACCCACGGAUCAAAUUUACAGACGCGAUUUCUACCUUAAACGACAGAGACGCUUUAAUUCGUUCGUACAGUAAAAGAGAAGGCUGAAGGGGGUAUCGUUGAAAAGAUAUAUCGUCGAUCGAAGGGAUCCGUUCUCGCAAGGACGACUCGUUGCAUUCCCGAGAUUUACGCCCGAAUUUCGGGCUAACGAAGCGUCGUUUUUUCGAUCGCGAUCGUGUCGCAAUCGACGACUAUCGGUCUCACGAAAAUCGUGAAUUGUUUUUCGCUGGUGAAAUUACACCUCUCUCCACCCGACGUAGGAAUUCACGGUGUACGUUCUUCUUAACUCUUUAGCGCUCUUAUGUAGGUACCUUGUACGUUUCGUAAUCGUCGUUGGAUUGCGAUGGUAAAACUGUUUGAUGAAUGUACCGAUAGGUAGUAAUUUCAUUUCAAAAGAAUGUAGUGCGUUUUUGUUGAAGCCUAAGUAAAAUAAAUGUACUUUUAACACGUCGAUCGGCACACUGGAAAUAUUCGUAUCUACCGUGGUACAUUACAACGAGGAUUAUUAAAGAUAUUGAAACUCCUCGAGCUUGUAAUUACGCGUUGAUAAAAUUCAUGGCAGAGAGGAAAAUUAAUUUAUACGAACUGGUUACGUUUCAUGGAAUUCGCUUGAAGAUUUGAUAUCGAAUCAUAGUGGAAAGGGUUAAACCUGUGUUUGCCGGACAAAUUGAGCUUACCAAAUCGUCGACAGGCUUGUUGUAGCGACGUUACAAAACAAGCCAGGUGAAAGGACAAGAAUUUGAAGCAUCCGAGAAACGUAUCGCGAGAGGUCAACGCGAAUCAUUCGGUCGAGGCUUCGAAAGGCUGGGCAGGGAGGACAGAAGACGGUACAGCAAGGUCUACUUCCGCCGCAGGCAAGGUGAUUCAAAUUCCAACCCAGCCUUGUGAACAACACCGAUGAUCCUCGUGGUGGUUCGGUAUCGAACAACGCCCGUGGUCUCGUUUAUCGAUCGACAACAGAGAAAAUUGCAUUAAGCUCGGUGCCUUCCGCUCGAGACAUCCUCGAACUCGUCGCGAGACAAGUCCAUUUACUUUAUCCAGUCGACGUACGCGACCGUCGAAGACCCUGAACGAUAUCCUCCUUGCUUUUUUCAUCAUGUUCGUCGAACUCUUUCCUGUUUUUUUUUUCUUUUUCUUUCCUACGUAUAAAUAUAUUCGCAAGGUUACGGGCUCGAUUAAUUCUGGACCGAGGACGCUCGAGAAACGACGUCCUCGUGAAAAAAACGCCCAAUGGGUCGAUGGUUAAUUUAUGGAUAGCGACGUUGAGAAGGUGGGCACCCAUCCUCGUUUCAUUUUUCAUCUGAAAUAUUAUUUGAAUAUAAAACAGCUAAGAGGGAAGCUUACUCGAAGUAGCGGCAUCUCGGCGAUUCGUCGUCCCAGGGUUAAUUAUUUCAACACGACAUCGUGUUUCUUUGCUUCUAGCCCUGGAGGGCUCACGUGGCAUCCGUAAGAAGCCGGAUGAACCGUACGAUAAGGCUACCAAUGCUUGUUUCCUAUAGUAGUUGUCAGAAGAAGAUCGAGGAUGAUGGAAGAUUCGCGUGGGCGCUCUACUAACCGCAGGCCAUUCUUCAUCGACGGCUAAACGAGUGCCAUCAAUAUUCAUAACGUUCGUAAACACGUUCAGAAUCGUUUCGUUUCCUGGUCGGUGGGACGUUCGAUUAGACGACUUUGUUUUCAUCCAUGAUGAUCAGUUUGUUAGAAUGGAAAAUUUCAUCUAUUAUCUAAUUCGUUGUUGCUCGAUGUAUCGAACUUGUUUUUUCUAUGUUCUUGCAGAAUUACGGUUUCGCCACGGUUGCAGAUUAAUCUGGCGGACAGUUGCGAAAAGCGAACGGUCAGCGCAAGUUGGACGAUAAGAACGGCGAAAGAGAGGUAGCGCGUGUAAAUUCUCCUGUUGAUAGAGACACGCGGUCGUUCCACCGGUGCUCAGGUCGCCACGAUUACGAAAGCUUCGAGCUGCUGUGCCACGACCUUUGCACGCGACACUAUCCUCGCGUAAUCGUAUCAAAGAACGGCUUUCCGGUCUCUGUGGAAUAGGAUAAAGUCCUAGAAACUAACGCGUCGAGCCGAUUCGUUCUUUCGUAUCGUUCCUUGCUAUUUCAUAAUUUACAAUUUCAUACCUCGUUUCCAUCUAAUUCGUAUAUAAACGGAGAACGAGCGAUCACCUCGCGAUGGAAUCCGGAACAAAGGCCAGACCCCACCCGGCGCCGUGGCGAUCAUAAUUUUUUUCCCCCGAUCGGAUCGGAUCGCAUUGCGUAUCGGUUAGAUUUCAUAAGCGCUCCACCGACAAAAGAAACGGCUGGCGGGGAGGAAGGAUCGAUAAGCCGAUCGAUUAUGAUCGAGAUAGUUGGAAAAACGUAGCUCGGUGUCCGCGCAGCCGGCCGUGUAUCGGUAAUUGCAUCGUGCCUUGUCGACGCUUAUCGCGUUCGUUCUCUCCUUGGCAUAAGCGCACGUACGAGGGCGUUGCAGGUUUUCUCGAAAGGAACAGUCGUCCAGUCCUAGCUGCAGGACCAAUGUUCGCGAUAGAAAAAGGAUCUAUGGCGCCGAUCGGUGAGCGUAUCGAGAAACCGUCAAGGAAAGAGGCUUGCAAUUUUCCAUCCUUAUUCUGGAUCGGAAAUUUCUUUCAGACAUUACACGAUAUUCGUGGAUUUUUCAUUUUCCAAAUUGAAUCAGCAAUCGAUAUUUUUAACGCUAAUUUUUUUUUUAAGAGUAUACGUACUCUGUACAUCGUAAGGUGAACGAAUACCUUGUCGUACAACUUUAAAGUGACCCAGAUUUCGAUAUAUAAAGAUUAACGUACCUGUGAUACAACGUACAAACAUAAUUGUUAUUAACGCCACGUACGAUCCGUUUCUCCAAAUAAUCUCGUACACUCUGAUUCUUAUCGCGAAAUCAAUAAUCGAUGCCCAAUACUGACAGUCGCUGACCAAUUAAACGACCAUGGUGCCUAAAGAAAAGUAGCCGGAUCGAGCGAAUGAUUUACGAGCUGACCGUCCUUUCCCUCCAGGCAUUGAUGUCUCCUUGAGAAGCGCGAUGCCACGCAUCCAACUCUUUCGCUUUCAGAUUCGAUCCUAAAGGUAUCGCUAUUUCAUCCUUUUCUUACAUGUCCGACACGUUUCGUAUCUAAGGAAGCUAUUAGCUUCUCAUCUUUUAAUGUUGUUUGAUAGACAGAACAACGAUUCUUAGACUUUCUAUUAAGAAUGUUGAACGGCUCCUCCUCCGGGAAGAAGAAACAGACGGGUGCCGUUUUUUCUUGAACAGUGAAACUGAGAGGAAGCGAAAAGGAAGAGAAAUUAAUCAGAGCCGUGGCGCGAUUAACGAGCAGGUGUAUCUGAACGCAUCAUCAAAGCAUUCGGAUGAUUUUUAAACAGGGUGCGCCGGAUAAUGUGGUACAAGCGGACGCGGUGUGAUUUCUGGUUAAAAAAUAAAUUGAAAUCGUGGAAUAAAUUUUGCUGGUACCGACGCGUAAUUUUUCACGAUAAUGACUUUAAAGCUGUGUCAAUCGCGUCUGUACGGGCAGUGAUUCUCUACCGAUGGCAAUCAGUGUAAUGACACGUCGUAUCAACGAAAUUUAUUCCAUAAUUUCGAUUUAUUUUUUAAUGAAGGAUCGCUCCGUUGAGUUGUUUGUCUCGUUAGCGAUUAAACGAACGUGACUCGAUCUUUAACCUUUCCGGUGCCAAAAACAUUUGUCGGUCGGAAUAAAAUUCGUCUUCGCGUGUGAUAAUAAUGUAUGCGUUACAACAGAGACAGUUGAUCUCGUUACGAUUGCACAAAAGGCGGCAGAAAAACACGGUGGAGAGGAACUCGAAAUGAAAAGUAACGAGGUCAACGACGUCACUGGACUCUCGACGUUCCAAGCUUCGUGACUCGACGUCUCGCGAGACCCGAUCGAGACCAGAAGCAAAGGAACCGCGUCGGUGAAAAUGCUCGUUAAAAAAAAAAAAAGAGAGAAAAAAUCACGGGACAAUCAGUGGCGAACGCGAGACAACGAUGACUAACCGAGAAUCGACGGUGAAACCGUAAGAAGAAAAUAUUUUUCUUUUCCUCGUCCCGAUCAACUUAUCGACCUCUUCAGUUCGACACGCACGAAAUUAUUCCGCUCUUACGAAAUCCUCAAUCUCUCUUUCUGCUCGGUAACACGUUUAACUACAUAAAUUAUCGAUCUAUCGGUUGAAAAAUGUUUAAUGUCCCGAUUGAAAAUGAUUCUAAAGCUGGUGUUUAGGAGUUGCGCCAGGUACAGGGUGUCGUUAUGCACACACUACAAGCGACAUAAUUAAUAAUACAUGAUGGAGAUAAUGAAACGGUGACACACGGACGGUCGGCUAACUCGUUUUAAUUCUUCCUGCUAUCGAUGAACGCGAGCCCGCGAACCGGACACGCUGCGAUUCGAACGUUGAGAAUUAAUUCGAUCGCAAAUUAGCUCGAACCACGAGAGUCCGGCGGCGCGAGAUAAUUGACACGUCGUUGGGAAAAAGGAGAAAAAGAAAGGGAGCGAGAGGAGGUCUUCAAGGAUGUCCACUCUUCCAGGUGAAGGCGGUGUGGCGCGGCGGCGAGAAGGCGCGUAACGCCCCACAAAUCAGUCGCGGUCCGUACGUUUCGGUUUCGGUUCACCGAAUUUCACCGGAAUCCUUACGUUCUCUUUGAUUCUUCCAUCAAAAAUUACCUUUACUCGACGAUUACGAUCUAUCGUUUAUUCUAAACAGAAUACAACAUCAAAAUUGAUGCUUACAAUAUGACCAGAGAUAAUAUAAUUUUCUUCUCGACGGAGGCGUACUAGAGAUUUCAUCACCUUCGUGUAUUUAAAUACCAUGCAAUAGACUCUUUUUUAUCUUUGGUGCAAUGUUAGAUAAUUAAAUGUCACAUUCUCUAACGAGUAGGGAACACGAUAUAAUUUCGAGCAAAAACUGAAUACAUUACUAUAUUAUCAGAAAGCUUCGACAAAAUGAUUACUUCUGUGAUUUUAAGUAGAAUAUAAUGCGGUGGCUAAAAAUGGAAGAAAGAAUGCAAGGGUAAAAAGCUAGGUAUCAAGCUUACGAAUACGUAACAUUAGUCGUCACACUUUUGCAACGACGUUCAACGGUUGAAAUGAUAGAUUUACAACAAACUGGGGUCUGUUUCAUUGAAAAUUACCGUGCAACCGGGGAAUCCUCGCUUAGCCGAAGACAAGAGCGCGUAUUAGCCGGCCAUUAAACGCGUGGCUUUCGGUAUUAUGAAAAUUACGGGGUAGAAAGAGCGAGGAUCGGCUUCGAUUACACAUCGGUGCUUUGAUCGAAGCCCGGGGAUGCACUUUCGAUCCCUAACAACCAACCGCGUUGAUGUUGUUGCACAAACACGGAUUUGCCGCGGUUCGCUGCUUUCUACCGUUCGAACUCGAUCGUGGUUUCGCACUUCAUUUUCCAAGCUGCAACGGGCUCGAUCGAUUAAUCGAGCCAACGCGAGACCUGUAAUCUUCCUGCCGAAUAAGCGACCAUUGACAAAUCGUUAUCAUUAAUUCUCCAGUCUCGAUGAACCGACUCUCUUACGUUUGUAUCAUAUUUAAAGUCGGUAGAGGUAAAAAUUUACAGUUCGCCCUAACAAGGAAAAAUAAUGAAAUCUAAAGAGGAACAAAGAGAUGGAUCACGGAUCGAGGCUACAGUGAGAUCGGAAAGAUGGCUGUUACGGCUGUGUAGGAUUGCGAAUUAGCAACGGCUUGCUGCCGGAUAAGCUCCAAUCGCUUCACACUUUCCGCGAUUAAUCCGUCGGGAUCGUUCGUGACGCCUACUUAACGGCUGCUACGAUCGUUCAAGUAGCGAUCUCGACGUUCUUCGGUGACCUCUUCAUGUAUCGUGAAACAGCGGGGGGUCACCGGUGUCAAGUCGUGGCUUGGCAGCAUCCAACUUUGCCAACCGGCAGACUUAACGCUUCCUUAAUCUCGUACACGCUUCAUGCUCGACCAUCCUGUAAUCUUCGUUUCAAUUACGUCAAUAGUCGCAGUCUCUAUUUUUCAAGAUAUUUAUUCGACUAUAUCCGAAAGAAAUAAAAGCAAUUAGCGAGAAGCAAUGACGAGGUAAAAAAGAUGGAAAGGAGCUGUCGUUUCAAAACACGAUCACGUCGAUUCGGUGCCGAUCACGUACUCUUCCACGGUGGCAAGAAAACGAUCCUAUGGAUUGCCAGUUCGAAAGUGAUUUCUUGUUCGCAGGAAGAUUUUUCGAAGACAUCGAAUCGCGUGGUUGCGAACAGAGUGACGUUGGUCCUCGCCUAAGGAGUAACGACGUUCUUGUAAUCGUUCAGCUGUCGUAAUUCAGCUGGUAGUUUCGCGAGCACAAUGCAUCCGGCCGACCGAUACCUUAUGUAAUACGGAUUCGAACGUCCCCUCCUAGAGCUACUGCACGCUAGAGAAGAGAAAAAAGAAAACCGUAACGGAAAGAAAGAAAAGGGUGAAAUCCAGCGUCCGCUGGGUUCGCCUUCUGCUUCGACCAGUCUCCUUAGCAGCGCUCCUUCUCUUCCUUCACCUGUUUCUCACGCGGCAAUGCAAUCUCGACGAGAUAUUAAUAUAUCCGGUGGGAUUUUUAAGGACUCGACGAAACGAAGGAAACGCUAACCUUAAAUCAGCAACCGCAGGUAAACAGGUCUUUGAACGUAACGCGUGUCUUUUCGCCUUGUUUUCGAUACUCCGGUGACGAGGAAUUAACCCUUUCCAGAUUUCGAUCAAUAUUUUAAUUCAAAUCUAGCGAGGAAACCGGAAUUGACGCGAAUCGAUUCGACGACCGCUUGCAACAGCUGGCAAACUGUUUUUUUUGCAAAAGAUAUAUUGCAAUCGGUCCACGUGGUAACCAACCGCGUCGCUAAUCGCGUUACGAUUAGUCCUAGGUAUCGCAAUCGUGCGUUCCUCGCCGCGUUCAGCCGCGAUAAUGUUACGCUUCCGCUUUUUCUCUCCAACGGAUUGGCACGCACCGCGCGAGCUGAUUCACGCGUACCUCUACUUAUUUACGCCCGCUAUGAUUCUUUAUUUCUUCUAACGGGUUGACGAUAAACGUUGUCGCGCGUCUUCUCUUUGCCGGCCCAGUUCUCACGCACUCGCGUACCCACCGUCCACCUCCCAGAACAGGAUUCUAUCUGAAAAGUGUAUCUAUGUAACAUGCGGAGCUAGCACCAGUCGGCCGACUCGUUCUUCCGCUGCUUCGCCAUCGUUUCUUGCCAGCCAACUCUGUAAUGCUGUUCGUUCUGCUCGGUCAGUUAUGAAUUCUUAAUUUUCGCGAAGGUCGUGCUCUCACGUUGACUGCUCGCGAUUAUCGUCGAUCCGCUUUGCCAGAGACUUUAACGACGCUUCAGUCGAAAAACGACACGGGUACUUACAAUUAGAGGUACAGAAGAAUUCUUUUUCUUAUCAUCAUUGGGUAGAAGUAAUUUAUCUUAUAACGGGUGGUCCGGGCGACAACUUAUAAUUAAUUGCAAUUCUGACCACGCAACGUUCAACUUUGUUCGUUCGAGGAGAAAGCGCCCACGGGUCGAAGAAGAAUGUACAAAGAGAAAGUGAAAAAGUAACAGAGCGUCGAGCAUUUCUUCGCAACUGUACGAAAGCGUCCGUUAAAUUAAUUAGAGUAUACAUCUAUCUAUCUGUCCGCAAAUCUAUUGAUCUAUAUCUCGAAUCGUACAUUGUACGAGAGAUAAAAAAACGCGAUUUAUCAUGGCAUCGUGAAUAACGUAGUUGUUUCUAUAAGAAUUUUCUUUCUAUCGCACCCCUUUCGGUGGAAUGCGAAUCGAGGAAUCAACAGUGAACACCUUGUUCUCUCGUCCACCGGCUCGUCCAUCUUCCCUAUCUCUAACUGUACCGGUAAAAUAAGUUGCACGCUAUCGUUGACCCGCCACGCAAGUCUCCUCCCGGAAAUCGAGAGACGAACUCCGGUUCGACGACAUCCCCGGUCGAUCGGAUGUUCCACUAGCUCGAGCUCGGCAACGACUAGGUUUCUGCUCGAUCAAAGAGCACCUCCACCCGUGUCCUUUGAUGUAUUCCUGCCGAGUGCCGAGUGAUAGAAGCCGCCUCGUCUUCGUGGCGUGGCUCGAUCAACCGUUCCGAUUCUCACGUCGAGACCUUCGAACCCGAACCAGGUCUUCCUGGUUCGUCUAAAAUCAUGCACACGUGAGAUGGGAUCGCUUUGUUCGGUUCCCAUGACGGAACGGGCUUUCCAUUUACACCGAUUCGCUAAAGUAUUCGAACCGUUUCAAUUAAUCACCGAUUAUAUACGCGAAUCUAGGCUGCGCGAAGCGUUGAGAAUUUUGCUUUAAUUGGUAUCGUAGAAAUUUUGUAAAACUUUCCUCGGUCGAUCGUCCGAGUAGUUGGAUAAUAUUCGAUGGAAACAGCGAUAGUUAUCGAUUGCUAAUGCACGCGUUGGCAUUCGAAAUGAAAACGGAAACACGUGUAAGCGCGUGCAAGCCGCAUGUUCGUUGCAUACUAUGCGCAAUCAUGCAUUGUGCACCGUUCACAACGACUCGUCGGGGUGCAACAAACGAACGUCGAGCCGAGUCGGUCGAACGAUUUUCCAGACGAUCUUUUAUCGGUUACCACAUCGAUGUCUGGAUUUAUCUGCAUCGUUAAAGCGCCGAUAGCGGCGGCUCGUGCACGUUCGAGCAACAGGAAAGAAUCCUUUCUCGCGAGACACCGCGAGAGGGUGUAGUCGAACGUGCGGAAUUCUCUCGGAGGAUUUUUUUUUUUUUUUUUUCACCGGCAAAUCUCUGUUCUGCGCGCGGAGAUCUAUCGAUCGCGACCAGAGUAUCCAGGCGCCACCGUAACCUUUCGCAAUUCGUUUCUCGUUACGUUUCCUCGUGAAACCGAUUGUGAAAAUGCCUAACCUUUCAACGAUUGACAUCGCGAACAAGGAUUAACCCUUUAGGCUUCCGAUUCUUAAUGUAUCUGAAACGAAGAAUUUAUAUACGGUCCAUAAACAAAGUGACAGAUAUAUCGUGUCAACUUAAUUAAUUUCGAUGAUUAAACACAACGCAUAGAGCAGAAACGUUGCGCUCGAUUGAUAAUAAAAUCGAACGCGGCAAGGUAUCGAGGGUGAACGAUCUGUAUAAACGCAACACGGAUCGCGGCUAGAUAAGAUCGCCAAGCCUGUAACAAGGCUUUUCAAGUAAAAGCGCGGAAAACGUAUCGAGGAAUGCGAAUCCCGCGGAGAUCUAUCGCGUUUAACUCGAGUUCUGUUCUGCGGUGAACCGCGACCAGAGGUCACGAUGGUUCUGAAAUUAAUUUAUGCGAAAUCUAUCCAUCGGCAACCUUGCGUGUCCGUAACUUGGAUUACGUGGGUGUGUUCCUGACACUCCGUUUAACAACAUCGACUCUGCGGUACCGUGUUUUCUAAACGAACCAAUAACGGCCACGAUCAUUUCAAUCGCGACAUUUGAACGGUCUGCAAAGAGAAGACAAUCGGUCGUCGAUGGUAGGCCAGUUUGAAAAGAAAAUCCUUGCUGCCGCACCGGUAUAAGAUUAUUCGCGAUGGACUUGUUCGAGGUUUAGACGCUUGCAAAUCAACCGGUUAUCAGAUAAAAUUAUUCACUAAACGUCGGUCGCUUUCUCGAGCUGGUUCUUGUCUUUCUCUUGGACAAUACCAGCGUUAAAAGGAGCAAUAAAGUUGCGAGCCAGGGUGCUGCUGAUAAAGAGCUUCCACUACCGUUUGGCAAAUACAUUCCCGUUUCUAUAAUGAUAAAGCAACGUUAAAUUCAAAUGAAAUUGGCCUCUCUCGAGGAACGAUGAAUUCAUCCCUCGAAAUUGAUCGCGACAGCUCUUCGACGAUCAUAAAAGCCAGCAAGUAUUCGCCGGCGAACGCGGACGUAUAUUAUCCCUGGAAUUGAAGGGUCACAAAACUGGUGGAUCGGUGAUUACCGUGAAACCUGGCGUGUAACAGGUGAACGUGGUCGGUGGACGUCAAUCAAAAGACGAAAGCCAUUAAUUGGCGUGGACGUGCACGAACGUUUUCGGCACGGAAGCGUGAGACACGCGUCUUCUUCUUCUUCCUCUUGGCGUGGCUCGCUGGAAAGGUGGCCCCUGUCGUUCCAUAUACGAAACUGCAUGGAGAGAAAAUAAAGAAACGAAAGCUUGCUGACGUACGGAGUUUCGGGAACAAUAAUUACGAUGUUCUUGUCUCGACUGAGCAUUUUAUUUCUUUAAUUACGAUACAGUAUAUGCGUUCCCUUCCCGGUUAUACAAUAUUUAAAUCCAACGAUCGAAGAAAAAUAAAAUGUACUGAAAGUUGAAACACGAAUUCACCGGACGUCAUCUUCUCGGUACAGGACCUGGAGCACCAUGCUGGAAGCUCUUGAAGGCAAUAUUCAUAUCCAUUACCGUUGAAUUCCAGCAUUCACGCCCACCUGGUCACAGCAGAGGGUCGGCCACGCGUUGUCUGACUUGCGCAUCGCGCCCCUGAAAUUUAUAGGGAAAACGCGACGAGAUAGAUCUCGCAUUCAUCACGCGGAUGAUUUACGUUGCCCGGUAUGGAGAUAUACGCCGCCUGCUGGUACGUGGGUGUCCCUGGACCAUUGGACCAAGAUGUCUCUCCAGCAAGAAUCGUCUAGAGCGUUUUUGCAUACGAAUCACAGUUUUUACAACAGAUGAGCUUGUUUAUCCUGGAAAACACGAGGCGCGUAUUGAGUUACAUCGAAGACAUUUCACGGUUCUCUUUUCUUCUCGUAACUUGGUGCACGAGCACGUUUCGACUUUGAUUUCAAGCUGAGAUUGCCAGCACGUUGAUUCUUGAGAUUUCCUGACUUUUUUUUCCUCCUGUUAGAUUCCGUGCUGUGCGAGCGGUAGAAAAAUUGUAUACGAUAAUGACGAGAGAAACCAUCAUCAAUCAACACCUCGUCAAUUCGGAAUGAAACAAUCAAUUCUUUAAGCAAACAUUUAGUCACGUCGGAGAAAGGAGAAAUCACUGCCACGAAUGGCACAGAAGGCCUAAAUAACCAGGUAUUUCAGUAUUGACCGUAUAUAGGAUGGUUCGACUUGGACGAUCAGAGGAUAAUUGAUGCUUUCUACAGAACCGAACGAUUCUUGAUGCGCUUACCUGAAAGAUUGAAUGUUUAUACUGACAUAAAUGUCACUGCUGUGGGAGACUUUCAUCGAGGGAGGUGUCUCGUGUAGUAGGUGUUCGAUGAUAAACGUAGAAACAGAAGUCGAUAAUUCAUCGAUACCCGUCGACGAUGAAGCAAUAUCAUCGAUAAUCGUGAUAAAUUACCGUCGUGAUGUAGACACGAUCUCUCAGUUGCAUUUGUAGGAAAAUGAGACGGUGAAGUCAAACAGAGAAUAAUUCAUAAUUUUACAAACUUCACCAUGUCUGACUGAAUCGAAUUAACAUAAACGAAUCGGUGAUUAAAGAUAAUCAGCCGUAUUAUUUAUGCGCGCGGUUUUUCUCGACGAACCUCGUUAAUUAACGAAAGAUGCAUCUGCCUGUUCGCUUGGGUGGUAUGCUGACUGCUGACAGACGUAUGUGGGUUAAUUUUCGAGUCAGCACGAUGAAGAGAUUAAUUAAACGUUGUACCCUGGAUAACGACUUUGACUCAAAAUCUCAGUGAUUCGAGAAGAAUUUAUAGAUGAAAUUGUCAUUCGAUGACUAUCGUUUACUUGAACUACUUAAAACAGCCGGCUUUCAAGCAAAUUGAAAUUAAAAUACUAUCAAAGACCACACCUUGAUCAACUACCAUGAGGAAUGAAAAAAAAUCUUCACUCUGGAUAAUGAGACGGGUUCGAGACGCCACAAGGACCAGCCUCGAUUUUUCUGUGGUACAAAAUGGAAUCGUGGGAAGGACGAGAAUCGAAGCUGCACCGAAGCGAACGAAAUGAGCCACCGUCAAGGCGAUGCACCCGUCUACCGAUGCACUUCCUAAAGGAACGCGAUGACGUACGGCAGCAAAACAUCAGUCAUUAUCGACGCCGAUCGUCCCCGGUUUCCCUUGGCGACGUUAUAACGAGUUUGGCAACUGAUUUUUUGCAAACACACGGCUCGUUUGACCAUCAAAGAGUAAGUCUUUCUUUAUUCUUCAAAUUGACCCAACUGGGUUACCCGAAAAAGUUGUAGAUAUUAUUUCUUGCAAGAUUUAUUCAUCUCUGUUUACAUCAAAGUUUCUUUUAUGAAUUUUGUUAGGGAACAUACAAUGACUCGUUGAAAUUAUCAAAUAUACUGAUCUAUAAAAAUGAAUAGUUCCGCAAACUUCUUGUUGCCAUUCUUCGACGAGUUUCACUUGCACUUCGAAUCUUCCAUGACUAAUGGCAACAGGAAACAACUCUGUAGUCUACUAGACUUUUUGUGAAUUUCAUCUAUUUUAGCGAUUUUCUCGUUUCUUUUGACACCCGCAGGAAAUUACGCAAAAUGAAUUCCUGGAACUCCUUAAACCCCCUACGAUCUGCAAGAAUUCAUUAUUUUUCAGCUACCAGUGUUAGAAAUUUAAGCAAUUGUGGUGAUUUAAUAGCUGAUUAAGGGUGUAUCAUUGUUAUUUCCGAUUUCUGGAGAAGCCUGAUUUCGAGGUCGAGUAGUUACACCGACGGCGUUGAAAUUACCGUUCCAGACGGAAUUACAGUGAUAGGGAACAAUGUAAUAAUGCAU